GUAGGUGAACCUGCGGAAGGAUCAUUAACAAAUUUUCCCAACCAAACACGUUUGUGAACUGUUAUCAAGCCCAUGGUGUGCCCCGUCCUAGGAUGCAUCGACUGGAUUACCAGUCUCUAGCUUCUAGGCGGACCAUCAUGUUUAUUUACGUUGACUUACAACUGAACUGAGACUUUAUUGAAAAUAAAGACAACUUUUAGCAACGGAUCUCUAGGCUCUC
rnacentral:misc_RNA from 1 species